CCACAAGUUCUUCUUCAAGACAUAAACUUUCUUGCUCAGCGUUCAGAAACCUAGUAAGAUUUUGAACAUUGAAUGUAUCAUCAGCAGAACAAUACAUUGAAAAACAUUCAUUGAAAAUCUAUUAAAAUGCCAACAGAUAAGUUUAUUAUAGAGGGAGACAAACUCGUCAAAAUUAAGCUCAUUGCGCUUCCUGGUGUCGACUUCUUGAAACAACUCGCGUAAUUUACUGGUUGAUAUUUUGCAAUGAACUCGAGGAAAAAAAGAUUUUACAUCUUUCAAUGUCACUCUAUAAAAUAAAUGUGAUUAUACUUAUUUUUUUUUUAACCUAAACAGCAUUUCAAUGAUUAUAUUUUAAAAACAUAUUAAAAUAAAACAUUUUGUUUUAA